GAACGGUUGUAGCAAUACAGCAGUGGCAGACGGGUGAGUAACACGUGGGAACCUUCCUAGGGGUACGGAACAACUCAGGGAAACUUGAGCUAAUACCGUAUACGUCCGUGGGGAGAAAGAUUUAUCGCCCCUAGACGGGCCCGCGUAGGAUUAGGUAGUUGGUGAGGUAACGGCUCACCAAGCCUACGAUCCUUAGCUGAUCUGAGAGGAUGAUCAGCCACACUGGGACUGAGACACGGCCCAAACUCCUACGGGAGGCAGCAGUGGGGAAUAUUGGACAAUGGGCGCAAGCCUGAUCCAGCCAUGCCGCGUGCAGGAUGAAGGCCUUCGGGUUGUAAAGCUCUUUCGGCGGGGAAGAUAAUGACGU
rnacentral:rRNA from 1 species